GAUGAACGCUGGCGGCGUGCCUAACACAUGCAAGUCGAACGGAAGGACGAGAAGCUCGCGUUGUUGAGGUUAGCGGCGGGCGGGUGGGUCACGCGUGGAUAGCCUACUUCUUUUUCGGGGAUGACUUCGGGAAACCGGAUAUAAUACUGGAGAAUAUUUUGUACGGCAUGGUUCAGGAGAGAUUGACGGUUUGGGUGUAUCUAUUAGCCGAUUUCGUGCUGGAUUGGCUAGUUGGUAAGGUAACGGCCUACCAAGGCGCCGAUGCGUAGCCGACCUGAGAGGGUGAUCGGCCACACUGGAACUGAGACACGGUCCAGACUCCUACGGGAGGCAGCAGUAGGGAAUGUUCGGCAAUGGGCGAAAGCCUGACGCAGCGACGCCGCGUGGGUGAUGAAGGCCUUCGGGUCGUAAAGCUCUGUUAUUGGGGAAGAACAUCUGUGGCUGUAAACGAGGCUAUCUUGACGGUACCUAAAGAAGAAGCACCGGCUAACUACGUG
rnacentral:rRNA from 1 species